GACUGUGCACAUGAGCAACACGUUAAUGUUUUGAUUGGCUACAAUGGGGUGCACAGUACCAUCCCGUAAACCACCCUCCCUCUCCAGCCCCUUCACCUUCACGGACACCGAUAGCCACCCUCCUCUCCAGCAGCCUCCCCGUCGCCGGCACCACCAUUGCAACCUCUUCCUUCCCUCUACCCAUUCGAUGUGUGUAUGAGAGAGAGAGAGAGAGGGAUCUGGUGAGAGAUCUCCUGGACUCGUUGAAGCCCUGAUACCUGAGCCUGGCCGACACUUCAACAUCGAAGGUGUGAAGGCGCCGCCGGGACCUCAUUCCUUCAGUCAUCGCCGACGUUCUGGUGAUGGGUCAGGCCGGAAGCUCCUGCAAAUCCUCUUUUUGUGUGGUGUGUGUUGAUUUGAUUUGAAAUUUUGUGGUUGAGUUGCUGGUGGUGGGUCUUUGAAUUCAGGUUUGAGAGUGAAUAGCUUUGGCAUUAAGUUGUAGGGUUUGUUGAACUGUUAACAGAGACAUGCGUAUGGUGCUGUGGUGCUAUGCAGCGGCAUGGACUGAGGAAAUGAGUUGUUUUACAUCCUUUGUAAUUACAACCGAUAUAGAAUAAUAUUAGGUUGUACCAAAUGGAACACAAUUGUCAUGGCUCACACACUGGCUCCGAUGUGGAUGUAGGUUGGAGAGGUAAAAUGUAAUAUUUUAA
rnacentral:lncRNA from 1 species